GAUCAGCUUGCCAAAGCAUCACCUUUCUCAGUAUCUCAGUGGAGUCAACUCUACUAAGAUGUCAAGGAAGGCUGUUUAAGAGAUCCUGUUAAAGGGAAAGGAGCCUCAUCUUUUAAUUUGCUCUUAUGUUUCUGUGCUGAUGUUUUCAUAUAUUGUCAUUUCUAGGGAAGACUGAGCAUGGAAUUCAGCCCAUCUUCUAGUUCCCCAAGUGCAGAAAAAAAACAGACUGAUCUUCUCUCAAGCACUGGCAUUUCCAGGGUACAUGUUUUCAGGACACCAGCAUUCCCAGGAAAGCUGCUUUUUCAAAGUUUUUCUACGGACCAGGAACUGGUCUGAACUUUGUGGUCAGAGGUCUUCUGUAGUAUGACAGCCUGCAGAGCACUACUGUGUGGCAAAAGGGUGAUGAGAGCAGGCAGGCAUUCCAACCAAAUCAAGGGAAGUUAAUAUGCCUCUGUAGAAAGUAUUCACAGUGGUCAGGAGGCUUGGAAGAUACCCAUCUGGUGGAGUUCAGAACAUUAAGCUAAAUGCUCUGUCAAAUAAUGGAGAUCCCUCUCACCUUUGCUGUCUUCAAAGGAAAGAGGCAGGACAGAGUCUGUGCUGUGUGUACACAUCUAAAGCAAUGCACAGGAGUAGCCUGACAGACCUUGUUGGGAAGGCAGAGUGCACUGUGAGUGCGUGACAAGCCCUGACAUCUAUAUACCUUACCACUACCACCAGUGGCUUGAAGCCAGGAUAGGUCAGAGUGUACACCAAGGACUGACAUUUCUCCCUCCUGCCAGUGUUUGUACACAUCCUAAGCUGCUAUUGCACAACCUGGUGUGAGUGGCACGCUCUGCUCACAAGAGCCCCGAGACUGGAAGAGCAGGCUUCAGCUGUCUGUUUGGCAGGACUGUGAUGCACUCACUGCCAGAGACACCUGAGCUGCUUGUGUUCCUUUCCCUCCUCCAGUUCCCACCUGCACCCCCUGCUUUGAAACAAAGGCUCCCACUAAAAGCAAAGAAGUAGCUAUAGAGGAAGAUUCCCUAGUUGCUGCCCACAUGUCAACUGCUGCUGUUGCAGACUGUGGCUUUUGUGAUGACAGCAAUGAUUCAAUUAAAUGAUUUUUUAAUACUU